GGGAGUCUGUGUGUAAGUAUUCACAUAUGUAUGCAAGUGCUUAACGAGGCCAAAAGGGUAGGUUGGAUUACCUGAAUCUGGAGUUACAGGUCUUGUGAGCCACUCAAUAUGGGUGUUGUUAACCAAACCCCAGCCUGCUGUAAGAAUAACAGGCACUCUUAAUGACUGAGCCAUCUUGACAGACCCCUGAUAUUUCUUUAUUAAUUCUUCCCCCUUGACAAAGAGAUGAAACCUCAUAAAAGUAGACCCAUUUGUGACACUGGUGGAAUAAAACAGUCAGUCCCUGAGACAUUAAAAUCUAUCACUAAUGUGAUAUCGCCAGAAGAGAUCACUUGCAACGAAGAGGGAACCCACAGAGGAGCAAGGGCUUGGCAGUCGCCGUGGCAAGAAUGACUUAAACGGAGUUGAAAUUGGAUGUCGCCACAGAGCUAGUGGUGGGACCGACUGUCAGGCACAAACGAGUGUGUCACAGCAAGAUUCUCAGGGCUGAGCAUACCGCUGUGAGGAAAAGACUUCACAUCUCUGUAAAACAUCCAACAGAUUCUACACUGGAAAUCCCUUCCACUAGAAAGAUGGAAAGUACAAAAAAUAAAAAAUCACUCAUUCAAAAGCAGAUAAGCUGGGGCCCGGGGGGUGGAGGUAGGGGGCUUUCCUAACAAGUGGGAAGCCCUGGGUUUGGUCCCAGCACCUCAAAAAGUGGGGCAUGGUAGAUGAUUGUACCAGGGGUUAGAUGGAGCAUUAUACACACCUAUAAUGGAAGCACUGGAGAGGUAGAGGUAGGGUGAUCAGGAAUUCAGGGUCAUCCUCAGCUAUAUUUUGAGUUCAGGGACAACCUGGGCUUUGUGAGACUCUGUCUUAAAAAGAUAAACAGACAAGCAGGAUGUGGUAACACAGGCCCACCGUUCAGCAGGCUGAAGCAGAAGGAUCAUUUGAGUCCUGAAGUUCAAGGACAGCUCAAGCAACAUUUUGUUUAUUUCCUUUAAAGAUUUAUUUAUUUAUUAUGUAUACAGUGUUCUGCUUGCAUGUGUGCCCGCAGGACAGAAGAGGGCAACAGAUCUCAUUACAGAUGGUUGUGAGCCAUCAUAUGGUUGCUGGGAAUUGAACUCAGGACCUCUGGAAGAGUAACCAGUGCUCUUAACUGCUGAGCCAUCUCUCCAGCCCUUGAGCAACAUUCUUAAAGACCCUUCUCUAAAAUAAAGACAAAUAGGUAAUCCUUCGAAAAGUCUUAGUUUCUAUACUACAGGUAGCCUAAAGUGUGUUACUUAAAUUGCUGCACUAUUUUAUUUUGUUUAUUAUUUAUUUACUUUUCUGUUUAUUUUGGGGGGUGGCAGGGUGGCAGAGACAAAGCCUCAUUAAGUAGCUCUGGAUGGCUGGAACUCUAUAUGUAGAGCCUCCUGGCCUUGUAUGCAGAUCUGCCUGCCUCCAUCUCUCCAAGAGCUGGCUAAGAUUAAAGGCGUGCGCUACCAAGCCCAGGUGCACUCAUUCUAAACGGCAAGUUUUGCUUUUAUACACACAGAUUGGAGGCUUACUGUAUAUAGAAUCGUAUGAGGCAUUUCAACUAUUCUCCCGGGACUUUGUUGCUUAGCAAGGGGAUUUGACUACAUCAAGGUAUUUAUCAUAAGCCUUACCAUGUCAGGUGGGGUAAUUUGAGACUCUGCUUCAGACUAAUAGAAAAACAAGAUGUCUUUUGUGCCUGUGACUUCAGCUUACAAACGCUUGCUUCCUUGUCUUCAUGUUUUGAGGAUAUCCAACUGCACCACCAGCAUGACACACCUGCCCAUUAGCCUGUAUCUAAAGUUCCCGGAGAAAUGAACGAAAAUUGUUUGCUGGGAAGCUUAAUUGAAAAAUCUGUUUGAAAUGGCCCAGGAGGUAGCCCAAAAUAGGUUUCACACUAAUGUAUAUCAGGAUCUUGGUAAUGAUCCAGCCGGAGAAGGACUGACUCCAAACUGCAUGUGUAUGAGAGCUAUUCUUCACUGAACUAAAAAUCAACCUGAGCUGCCAUUUUGAAGUCUUUGUUUAAGAGCAACUAAAAUUAAACCAUAAAGACAAUAUUUCGAGCCAUGUUUUCUGAGGCACACGAAUUCAAGCCGAUCUUAAUUCUGUUAUGCUUAGACAUAUUGACUUUUUCCUAUGCCAGAAGAGAAAAUACUGGACACUCUAUUUUGAGUUGUUACUACCACCCCCUCAACAUACCUCCCACACUUCCUAAGCACCUAUUCUGGUUUAUUAAAUUCAACAAGCUAUUUGCAUAAGAUAUUACAUAAUAUUUCAUUUACUGUCUGUGUUUUCCUUUGGAAUCCAAGCCACAUGAAGGAAUAGAUUUUAGUCAGUGUAAUCAGUAUCAUAUCCCUAGGGCCUACCAGCACACAUUUUGUAUUCAACAGAUGUUACUGAAUGAAUGAACUGGCACUAAGUAAAGCAUCUACCUCCUUUUAUAUAUAUAUUCCAGCUCAGAUUCAUGCAAUGUGCAUUUUAAGUACAUCUAUAUAGUAUCUUUUGUUUAUCCUUUUACUUUUGGAAGUGCAUAAGCAAUGCUUCUUACAAAUAAUAAAGGUACGGUGAAAUUUU